UACGGAGGGUGCAAACGUUGCUCGGAAUCAUUGGGCGUAAAGAGCGCGUAGGCGGUCCGGUAAGUCAGCUGUGAAAGUCAAGGGCUCAACCCUUGAAAGCCGGUUGAUACUGUCGGGCUAGAGUCCGGAAGAGGCGAGUGGAAUUCCCGGUGUAGCGGUGAAAUGCGCAGAUAUCGGGAGGAACACCAAUGGCGAAGGCAGCUCGCUGGGACGGUACUGACGCUGAGGCGCGAAAGCGUGGGGAGCAAACAGG
rnacentral:rRNA from 1 species